CUCUUUUAUCAAAUUUUUAAUGGAAAAUGUUUGUUUUUAUUGUGUAUUAAGCAACUGGAGUUCAUUGUCUGAGUGCCGUUUUAUUGAAAGAACCCAAAGCUGUUAAGACUGACGAUUCAACCCAAAGUUGAUUUGACUGAAGAUUGCACGAUCACAAUACAGGUUCAGUAUACAGUCUGUCUGCUAUGAAUAACAUGGAAGAACACCACAACCCUAUGCUUGCUUCAGAAUAGAAAACCUGUAUUAAUCAACAGAACCUUAAAAUUGGAGACUCCACUGAAGUGCACCCAGUACCUUAACAUGUGACAAUUUCAAAUCCUAUGAUGAGGCUCCAAGGGGUUAUAAAAUGAAAGAAAACAAAGAACAGGCCAAGAAAAAAUUUAAGCAAUGCAGUCACUGUCAUGGAAAUAAAGCCAGAAUUAUGUAAAAAUAUGAAAAAAUAAACUCAAG